rnacentral:rRNA from 1 species
AGAGUUUGAUUAUGGCUCAGGAUGAACGCUAGCGGCAGGCCUAAUACAUGCAAGUCGAGGGGCAGCGCAGUGUAGCAAUACAUGGGCGGCGACCGGCAAACGGGUGCGGAACACGUACGCAACCUUCCUUUAAGUGGGGAAUAGCCCAGAGAAAUUUGGAUUAAUACCCCGUAAGAUGGUGGUCUGGCAUCAGAHGGHGAUUAAAGCUGAGGCGCUUAAAGAUGGGCGUGCGUCUGAUUAGGUAGUUGGUGAGGUAAUGGCUCASCAAGCCGACGAUCAGUAACUGGCGUGAGAGCGCGACCAGUCACACGGGCACUGAGACACGGGCCCGACUCCUACGGGAGGCAGCAGUAAGGAAUAUUGGUCAAUGGACGCAAGUCUGAACCAKCCWUGCCGCGUGAAGGAUGAAGGUCCUCUGGAUUGUAAACUUCUUUUAUGUGGGAAGAAACGCACUUUUUCUAAGGGUGUUGACGGUACCAUUAGGAAUAAGCACCGGCUAA